UUGUCUUCCACUUAAAACUUCUUGCCACCUGAUUCACCACGGGACGUAUCAGUGAUUCCACAACAUUUCUUUUUUCCUCCUCUUUCCCAGAAAGCCACAAAUCUACAACUUGUCAACUACGAAAAUUUCGUUUGAAUUGUCAAAAGGCUUGCCAGUGUUCGCAUGGAUGGCGGACGCUGCUGCGGGAACAGAAACAGAAAUGGGGCAAGGAGUUGAAGAGAAAAGAAUAGAUGAUGGAGAAGAUGAAAAGGAUCAAGACUUGAGUCCUCUUUUGAACCCAGAAGCAUCUUUUCUGCGUGAACUGAACCUGGUGGUUACUCUUUUCUCCUUAUUCUCUUUGCCCACCGACCACUCGUUGAAUCUGAGGCAAGAUGAAGGUAGGUCCACAAAAGAUCAUGAAGCUAACACCAACAUUUCCAGAUUUCACACCAAAAGGCGAGGAAGUAAUGAAAUAAAGCUAAUGGAGCGACGAACACCGAGGUUUCAAACUACGACACAGGAAUUCAGGCAUUCCAGAAGAAUGUGAUGACAAAGACAUGAUUCUGCGAGAUUUUGGAAAGAAGGAAGAUUCUCCACAGAAGAGAAGGAAAAGCUGAUAUUUCCCCUGUUCGUGUUUAUCAUUUCGUCCGAGAAUAUCUUUACAGUCUA